GCGGGUGUGGCGGAAUUGGCAGACGCACUAGACUUAGGAUCUAGCGCCUUACGGCGUGGGGGUUCGACUCCCCUCACCCGCA
rnacentral:tRNA from 1 species